GAACGCUGGCGGCGUGCCUAAUACAUGCAAGUCGAGCGAACGGACGAGAAGCUUGCUUCUCUGAUGUUAGCGGCGGACGGGUGAGUAACACGUGGAUAACCUACCUAUAAGACUGGGAUAACUUCGGGAAACCGGAGCUAAUACCGGAUAAUAUUUUGAACCGCAUGGUUCAAAAGUAAAAGACGGUCUUGCUGUCACUUAUAGAUGGAUCCGCGCUGCAUUAGCUAGUUGGUAAGGUAACGGCUUACCAAGGCAACGAUGCAUAGCCGACCUGAGAGGGUGAUCGGCCACACUGGAACUGAGACACGGUCCAGACUCCUACGGGAGGCAGCAGUAGGGAAUCUUCCGCAAUGGGCGAAAGCCUGACGGAGCAACGCCGCGUGAGUGAUGAAGGUCUUCGGAUCGUAAAACUCUGUUAUUAGGGAAGAACAUAUGUGUAAGUAACUGUGCACAUCUUGACGGUACCUAAUCAGAAAGCCACGGCUAACUACGUG
rnacentral:rRNA from 1 species